GUGUGGCUAGUGUAAUGGUUAGCACGUAAGGAUGUGACCCUUGCAGAGAAAGUUCAAAUCUUUCGCCUCACCCCA
rnacentral:tRNA from 1 species